rnacentral:lncRNA from 1 species
CGGACAGAGCGGCUGCCCUUCGGGUCCCUAGCUUGGCGGUCAGAUCGGGCUUUGGGAGAUCCCCAGAGCCCCUCCACCGCGAAUCCGAGCUCCUGCUUCAGCACCAGAGGCCGGACAGCGCCACGGCCCGCGAGCGCCGGGGGUGGGUUCCGGCGGCUGGGCUCCCAGCCCCACGCCGCGGGCUCGUGGUCCUCAGUCGCCACGCCGAGGAGGCCAGGAGGCGAGGUAGGGCUUGCCGAGGAAGAGGGGAUUCAUCUUCCUCAUUUCUCCGGGGGUUUAGGUGUCGGAUUCUAGGAGGGCAGUCCAUCUCCUCUUGGCUAAGACCGGGUGGAAUAACUUGGUGCCAAGCGCCGGUAGGGUACAGAAGAGCAAAAAGGCGCGCGUGUAAGUGGUCAGCGUAGGGGCAAGCGGGACAGUGAUCCACGGGGAGCCCCAUUCGCUGGUGUGCUGUGAAAGACCGCCGCAUCCAAGUCCUGUACUCUCUCAACCCCUCUCCCGCCCCCCACUUCCUCCUUCUCUCCCUCUCUCUCUCUCCCCACAAUCUCCAUACGCCUGAACCGUGGGCGAAUGAAGGGAAAAGCGUGGGAUGGAGAAGAUACUGAGAAAUUUGAGGCUGAGUGACAAGUAGAAAAGCUGGAUGGAUGAUGGAGAUGAUGGCCUCCUAUUUGGUGUAAGAGCAGACCCCUCACUUUCAAGGAAGGUUUGUGGCGCGGAGGUGGCGGUGACCCAUGGGAACUGGAGAUUGUCCGAGUCCCUCGUGGCCCUGGACUUGGCUUAUUUAUUACUGCCUGAAGUUUACUGAGAGCUCCCUGAGGACCGCCUGCUUCUCCUGGGAAUAUCUGGGUUCUGACUCCUCUGGGGAACCCCUGGCAUCUCACUGAGACUUCUUCUCCAACAUCAGCACUCAGGUCUUUUUCUCUGAACCAAUACACCGAGGAGAAUGUCCUGGCCCUCUCUCCACACUGCCAAAGAGACACGAUGUUUGUUGUUGUUGCUUUAAAGGGAAAUACGAGACAACAAAUACUCUCCUCCUUGAGGGGUUUACAUGGGGGGGUGGGGGGGGGGGUGCUCAGCCCCCUGCAGCCUGGAGCAGCAUUGCUAGCCCCUCACUGGGACUGGGGAGAGGGAGUCUGGGCCUCCUGGGCGCACCUUCCUUCACAUCCUCCACAGCAGAUCUCUGCAUUUUCCCAGGCCCACCUGCCUAGAGCUGACAGCUGGAAGAGGCUAGGCCCCAGAGCUGGGCCCUGCCAGCUUUCUCCAUGGCCUUCACUGCCCCUCAGUUGCUCCUUCUCCAGGCAAGCCGGUCCCCACUCUGGGUGGAGAGAACACAGCGAAGCACGGAGGGGUGGACGACAGAGGACGAGUACUCAAUUAAAAAGGGAAAGAAUUAAAAGCAGCACCAAUAAGGAAGGGAGGGAGCCACACGUGUGUGCAGGCGCCAAGCGGCGCGGGCUCAGGACCCAGGUCCCUCGGAUGCUUGGUGACCCGGCGGCAACGCGGAGGACACGCCUGACCCGGGCUGCCUGGAGCUUCUCUGGUGCCCACCCCAGGGCUGCGAGUGGACUCGUUUGUGUGAAACUUCUUCUCCGCCCCAGAAUCUGCCUCAGUGCUGCUGGGCCCACAGGUGUCACCAAGGGAGAAACUGGGGUGCUGAAGCCCAGUCCCCCAGCUGUGCUAGGGGGCCGCCCCCCAGCAGAGCAGAAGCAGGCAUCAUAAAAACCAUUUGCCAGCCUUUCCCAAGUCUCCGAGUUGGGGGGAGGCAUCUUGCCCUAAGAUGGUCACCAAGUUCCAACAAUGAGAUUGUCAGUGGGGAUAAAUUUUUCCAUGCCCCACCUAGUCCUUUCCAAGUCUAUUCCCACCCGCCUUCCCCUUCCACAUGGCAGGCACAAGGGACCCCUGGGGCCCUUGGGUGGGAGAAGGGGAGGGUUGGUCAGCAGGCACAGGAGGCAGAAAAGGCAGCCUUUCUUUCAGAACACUAAAGCAUCUUACCAACUUAAACUGGGUUGGGAGCUGUACUCCUUUAGGGAACGCUAAAAAUGCAACCACGAGCUGAGCUUACCCUCCCCCUACCACUGUCUAGCUGUGUGACCUUUGGCAAAGCACUUAACCUCUCUGAAUCAAAUCAGCCCUUCACUUCCACCCAGAGGCUGCUGCCAUCACUGAUUCAGCUGGUCCCUCCGCUCCUCCACACGGGCUCUCUUCUCUCUCAUUUCCUGCCUGAAACCAGUGCGCAGCCAGUCCUAUUAGAAAUCUCAUUCACACUUGAGAAGGCUGCAAAUUGGUGUCACUCAGCAGGUGUCUGCCCUUCACUGGGGGCGGCGGCCAGGAUUGCACAGAAGGGGCAGAGAGAGCUGGGAACAAGAGAAGGCAGUCAGACCUCCCCCAGGCAGCCCUCAGCAUCCCAGGCUGGUGUGGAGACAGAAGGGGAGAGAUCCUACCUCUGGGAAACAAACAUGUGGGGAGGGGAGGGGGGUGCCCUCCUGAUCUGAGAGAUGGAUGAGAGAGCCCUUGUCGGUAUGUAGCAGGGUGUAAAACGAGCCAGACACACCCCAGUUCCAGUCCUGGCUUCACCUCUUACUGGCUGUGUGACUUGGAGCCAGUCACUCGACAUCUCUGAGCCUCAGAUCCCUCACUAGUAAAAUGGAAUUUAUCACAUCUACCAUGCUAGGUUGUUAGGAUAAUCCAGCAAGAGAAGUGUCAUAUACAUAAUGGCACAUCUAAAUACUCAACAGUCGUCUCUUUGCCUCCUCUGUCAUGGUUUUUCUCUUCCCAGACCUGGGGCACCACGGGUGCCCUUCCCAGAGUAGGAACAGUCUCCCCUGUCGUGUAGGAGUUUUAUCCCAUUUAAAUGUUUAUCCUUCCUCUCCCCAGAUCAGUAUCUUGCCCAUUUCAGGAGGCUCAAUAUAUACUGAAAGAAUGAAAACAGGCCACAUUCCCACCGAAUCCCAUUUUUAAAAAAUGCAGAAACCAAGGCUCAGAGAGGUUGUGUGACUUACCUCUAGGUCACUCAGCAAAAUCCACAGCUGACUGCUUCUUAAAGUAACUUUCUAGGCGUCUCAGCACACAAGAGGGUUGGUGACCCAAGGGUCAGGGCAUUUGGGGUGGGGUGUGUCUGACUUCACAGCCAGGACUCCCUCCCCACCCCCUCGUCCCCCCGGGGAGUGCUCGGCUGCCUGUAUUUUACACCCUGCUGCAUAUCAACAGGGGCUAUCUGGGCCUCCUCGCCUUAAUUAACUGCGUGGACCGGGGUUAUGCAGCCCGCAGGCAGGUUUCCAAGCUAGCAUCAGCUUCCCUGGAUGAGCAGGGAGGCAGCGCCCUCUGCUGCAUUCUCUAGGGAGCUGCGCUUCAGCGGCGAUUCUCACCCCAAAUCUCCACGUUGGGGCGCCGCCCCGGACCCGUUCAAUCAGAAUCUUGCCGCGUGACCCAGGCGGCCAGGUUUUGUUCAGCUCCGCAGGCGAUGCCAAUGUUCAGCCGAGACUGAGGACCAGCGAUUUAAGGAUUAACGUUAUAGGGGAAGAAACUGUAGUCUAGCAUGGGACAAGUAACGGUGGGGGAUAAAAAUUCCUCUGGAUCAAAUCCUUCCAAUUUGGCAUGAAAAAUCAGUCAUGUGAGACUUAACCGGGGCCUAGGAAACCUGGAAAUUCUCAGAAGUUGAGGGAAGAUAUAAAGCUAUCAUAGGGGUCUUAGUGACAGGCUGUGUCCAGGCGGGUCCAAAGUCACUACUGCAUCAAAAGUGCUAAUAGAGAGGGAAUCUGCUUGAAUAAAAUGAGUGAAUGAUUUGCA